ensembl:misc_RNA 7SK 7SK RNA
GGAUGUGAGGGUGAUCUGGCUGCGAUAUCUGUCACCCCAUUGAUCGCUGGGGUUGAUUCGGCUGAUCUGGCUGGCUAGGCGGGUGUCCCCUUCCUCCCUCACAGCUCCAUGUGCGUCCCUCCCGAAGCUGCGAAACUGCCCACUUGGAUGCGCUUGGACGACCAUCUCCGAUAGAUGAGGACAGGUCUUUGGUCAAGGGUAUACUAGUAGCUGCGCUCCCCUGCUAAAACCUCCAAACAAGAGAAGCAAACCAGAUGCAAAGAAACAGGCUGUGUAGUUUCCCUCAUUUGUAAUAACUAGAAUUUGUCUAGGAUAUU